UUACGGCCACAUCACAUUGGAACAUCGGUUCCUGUACGAUCACCAAAGUUAAGCAACGUUGAGCCUAAUCAAUACCUAGAUGGGUGACCGUUUGUGAAUACCAGGUGAUGUAA